rnacentral:antisense_RNA from 1 species
UCAAUGGUGGCUCUGGCGGGGCUGACUUCGGUCAGGCCGGGUUCCUUGAAGACCGGUAUUUCCACCCCCGUCAGGGCCAUCACCA